UAUUUUCAGCUAACCUUUUUAGAUGACUUUGGUGACAGCUGACUUCAUCUUAACAGACCUGCAGGGAGCACCUCACUCCCCUGCCGGGCUGACAAGCUCAGAUGCAUGCAAGCAGCCUACCUUCUGUCUGUGCCUAGGUCACUUGGCUCCUUCAGAAAGGCUUUCUGGAACAACAGAGCCAAGCAGAGGAAAUAACAGCCCAAUCGCAAGAAGUUCCCCCCACUCCUCCUCCACCAGACCACUGGGUUUUGGAGAAGGGUGUGUCAGAGUGUAUGAAUGAGAUUGUGGCUUUCACUGCUGCAAAAAUAAGUUAAUUUGUUUAAAAGCAUCCACUUUUUUUAACUUCUGGUCUGCAAAAUAUCCUUAAGAAGAAAAAUAAAUCACAAUGGGGCAAUGUAAGGAUGUUUUUUUGUUUCAAAUGAUGCCAGAUUGCAGUCGUUAUUUGCUACAAAAGAUUUAUCCUCAAAACUCUCUGUCUUUGAAAGUUGAGAUGGGCAGAUGAUUUCCAGUUUGUCAACAAAUAUUUGAGGAAUUUUGUUCCUUAAAAAAAGAGUGGCAGGGUUUGCAUUUUUCUACACGUCCAGUAAUAUAAUUAAACUAUUCAAAUGGAAAAUGUGAAGAAUGUGGAUGAAGGCAGUUUGAGGCAGUCUGAUAU